GACGAACGCUGGCGGCGUGCUUAACACAUGCAAGUCGAGCGGUAAGGCCCUUUCGGGGGUACACGAGCGGCGAACGGGUGAGUAACGACGUGGGUGACCUGCCCUCAGCUCUGGGAUAAGCCUGGGAAACUGGGUCUAAUACUGGAUAUGACUCCACGGUGCAUGUCGUGGGGUGGAAAGCCUUGUGCGGCUGAGGAUGGGCCCGCGGCCUAUCAGCUUGUUGGUGGGGUGAGGCCUACCAAGGCGACGACGGGUAGCCGGCCUGAGAGGGCGACCGGCCACACUGGGACUGAGACACGGCCCAGACUCCUACGGGAGGCAGCAGUGGGAAUAUUGGACAAUGGGCGCAAGCCUGAUCCAGCCAUGCCGCGUGAGUGAAGAAGGCCUUA
rnacentral:rRNA from 1 species